CGAGAAGGUCUGAGACGCCCUUCUCCUUCAGAGGGCCAGUGCUUCCUGGUCUUGGGGGCUCCUCUUGCACCCUCAGCCAGCAUCAUCAGGGAUCACCCUCAGCAGGGAUCACCAGCAGUGGAGCACCAGUGGCCCCAAACAAACCAACCAGACCAAAAUAAUAUCGCAAGGACUCUGAACUUAAAUUGUCAUUGGAGCCAUUGCCCACAAAAUUACUUAGGACCUGCCAGUUGUCCUAGACAGGCUGACUGCUUGUUAAAAUGGAGGAUUGGAAUAGGACCCAGAGACUCCUAAUAUAACAGGCAAAAAAUCCAGGAUACAAACAAAAUUCACCCAUCAUGCAAAGAACCAAGAAAAAUCACAAACUGAAUGACAAAAGAUGAUUAAUAGAUCCCAACACAGAGCUGAACCAGAUGUUGGGAUUAGCUGACAAGAGUUUUAAAGUAGCCGUCAUAAAAAUGCUUUACCAUGUAAUUUCAAAUUCUUUUGAAAUAAAUGAAAAAUAGAAAUAAAAAUUAUAGAAGCAAAGGAAGGAAGUUAUAAGAAGAACCAAUGGAAUUAUAAAGCUGAAAAAUACAACAAAAAUAAAAACACAUUGGAUGAGCUCAAUAGCAGCAAGGAGAAGACAGAGGAUAGAAUCACUGAACUUAAGCACAGAUCAAUAGUAUUUGCCCAGUCUGAACAAAGGACAGAAAAUAAAUAGAAAAGAAAAUGGAGAGAAUCUCAGAAACCCCAGAGAAAAUAGCAAAAGCUCCAAGAUCCGUGUUGUCAGAAUCCCAGAAGGAGAAGAGAAAAGGGCUUGGGUUGAAAGAGUUUCAAAGAAAUAAAGGAUGCAAACUUCCUAAAUGUGAAAGAUUUACAAAGAGCUGAGCCAAUCUCAAGUUGGACGAACCUGUGGAAAUCCAUGCCAAGAGACAUCAUAAUCAAAUGUGUGAAAACUAAAGCCAGAGAAAAACUGUUGUUAGCAGCCGGAAGGAAGCACCAUUUGAAUGACAGCAGAUUUCUUAUCUGAAAAGUGGAGGCCAGAAAGAAAAAGCGCAACCUUUCAUAAGUGCUGAAGUAAGAGAACGGUACACUAGAAAUUCUGUAUCUGGCAAAACAUCUUUCAGGAAUGAAGGCGGGAAAAAGAAGAAAACUAAGAGCACUUGUUACUAGCAAACUAGCCCUUAGAGAAUGAGGACCGGAACUUCUCUAAACAGGAGGAAAAUGACAUUAACGAAUCCUAAGAACUUUAGAAAGAAAAGAAGAACUGUCCAAUGGAUACAAAUAGCGCUCCAAACAGAAAACAACCCAGAAGUCCUUCAAUGGGUGAAUGAUUAAACAAACUAUGGUAUAUCUGUACCAUGGAAUACUACUCAACAAUAAAAGAGAAUGAACUUCUGAUACAUGAAACAACUUGGAUGAGUCUCCAGGGAAUUAUGCAUGGCGUGCCAAGUGGUGCCACAUCCGCACCAGGGAUCCGAACCGGCGAACCCCGGGACGCCGAGAAGCGGAACGUGCAAACUUAACCGCUGCACCACCGGACCGGCCCCCCAAGACCAGCUUUUGAUAUUUGCCAUUGGGUACACAAUUAUUUUACACAUAAAGCAUUCAUCUUGUGCCCUGGCUUUGGGAUCUAUGAGGACAUGUGGGAGGGCCAGUCCCCACCACCGCACGUUCGCAGCACAGUUGACAAAGACAGCCCAUUGAGGAUGUAUCUCCACACAAUUGGAUCUUGAAGAGGAUGGGAAAAUUGUCAAAACUCCCUUUUGAGGAAACCAAGGCUCAGAGAAAUCAUUUAAAAAUCAUUUAAGUGUAGGGGCCAGCCCCGUGGCCAAGUGGUUAAGUUUGUGUGCUCCGCUUUGGUGGCCCAGGGUUUCACUGGUUCGGAUCCUAGGUGCGGACGUGGCACCGCUCGUCAGGCCACACUGAGGCGGCGUCCCACAUACCACAACUAGAAGGACCCACAACUAAAAUAUACAACUAUGUAUGGCGGCAAUUGGGGAGAAAAAGCAGAAAGAAAAACAAAGAAGAUUGGC
rnacentral:lncRNA from 1 species